AAAGAGAGAAAGAGAGAAAGAGAAUUGAAUUUCCAGACCCAGUUCGGUAAACAAGAUUCCCUGUUCCCAGAUGACACACCACAAACACCCUUUGACUUCCACUGAACUCCGUCUCCUUGGAAACAUCAUAAUAGGAUUAACAAAAGCCUGGAAGAUUCUUAGAAGAGCUGCUGUUCUCUCCGCAACAGGAUUGUGCUUAAGUAUCCCAUUAAAGAAGAGCACAUUGGGUUGGCCGCAAUGUUAACCUGCGAAGCAUGUAGAAACACAUGAGAAACAGCACCCAGUAUGUACAGUCAAGAGGAAAAGCUGGCCAGAGAAAACCACCCACAUGGAGGUGUUACAGACUCUUGUGUGCUGCCUCCUCACAGGAAGUUGUGGAAAGAUGUGAUGGACACGUAGGGAUGGAUGCUAAAGCUGACAUUUCUGAAAUCCAAAGGGGGAAUAUGUUGGAGCUUGAGUGGGUCUUCUUGGAGUCCCUCAAAUUAGAUUGUGUGAGCUCACUCCACCCACUGAGGAGCAAACCCUCCACACAACACACUCCCUUCCAAACCUUGGAACUCAACCCCCUCCAUGUUCCCCUGCUACCCUGCAAGAUGCCAAAACAGCUUCAAGGAAGUCUGCUGAGAAUUGCUCAUCAUUUUUACACUUGGUUGGAUAAAGCCCAGAGCAGAAAACAAAACAGAGACCCAGAUCCCCUUUUGAAAGCCCCACAGUAACCAGAGAUCAGGUCCAAAGACAGAAUCCAGAGUUUCUGUGCUGCUGUGUGCCCAGGAAGCUUGGGUGAGCUGUUUUCGGCCAUCCCAUCAAGCACAGACUGGAAUUAUAAUGUAGAGUGUUGGCUCCUUUUCCCCCAGGUUGAGCAGCAAAUGUCCUUCCUCUUGCAAAUUAUACCCCAUUCUUCCAAUGCUACCUGCCUGCUUCCUAUUGGUUAGAAGGCAACAGCAUCUUGCACAAUAAAAUUCAAUUUUAGCAAUUUCUCCACUGCCUCCGAGAAAGGGAGGAAAAUUCUCAGUAUGAGGGCAGCUUUUCUUUAUCGGCUUCUGCUUUGGAAGAUGACAACAUCAUCCUUUAGAUUUCUUAAGGAAAUAGAGCAGAGCCAAAGUAGACUGUGGCAUCCAGCUGGGGUUUAAGACCUUGUUCAUAAUGCCUAAAGAACUUCAAAAAGUUACAAGGACAAUACCUACUGUAAUAUGCUCAUUGACAUCCAAAGGAGUCCAAGAAAAGUAGGUCGUGGGUAUAAUGAGAGGCAAAAACACUGAUAAAUGGAGGGGGAGACACAUCGGUGUGUCCCUGGGAGCUGUUGCUUUCUACUUUAAGAAGAAAAUUGGAUGGGAGCAGUGGCUUUCAGAAGACGUCAAAGCUGCCUCAAAACUCUGGCAGGAGCUAACUUUGUUUUCUAAAUUUAAAGACAUUGCAGCUUCUAUAAUUUGUCUCCAAUAAAGCUAUGCCAUUUUUUUUAA